CAGGCGUCGAGAGUGAGCAGGCUGCUAACACCUGGUCCUCCUCAGCUCGCGGAAAGAGGGCAAGACGACGUGUUCAAUGUGGGGAGCCCGAGGUCUGGUGAAGUGGGCUGAUGAAAUAUAAAGAAAAAUAU